AUUGAACGCUGGCGGCAGGCCUAACACAUGCAAGUCGAGCGGAUGAAGGGAGCUUGCUCCUGGCUUCAGCGGCGGACGGGUGAGUAAUGCCUAGGAAUCUGCCUGGUAGUGGGGGAUAACGUCCGGAAACGGGCGCUAAUACCGCAUACGUCCUUAGGGAGAAAGUGGGGGAUCUUCGGACCUCACGCUAUCAGAUGAGCCUAGGUCGGAUUAGCUAGUUGGUGGGGUAAAGGCCUACCAAGGCGACGAUCCGUAACUGGUCUGAGAGGAUGAUCAGUCACACUGGAACUGAGACACGGUCCAGACUCCUACGGGAGGCAGCAGUGGGGAAUAUUGGACAAUGGGCGAAAGCCUGAUCCAGCCAUGCCGCGUGUGUGAAGAAGGUCUUCGGAUUGUAAAGCACUUUAAGUUGGGAGGAAGGACAGUAAGUUAAUACCUUGCUGUUUUGACGUUACCAACAGAGUAAGCACCGGCUAACUUCGUG
rnacentral:rRNA from 1 species